AGCAGUCGCCGCGGGAAUACGUAGGUCCCGAGCGUUGUCCGGAUUUAUUGGGCGUAAAGCGAGCGCAGGCGGUUAGAUAAGUCUGAAGUUAAAGGCUGUGGCUUAACCAUAGUACGCUUUGGAAACUGUUUAACUUGAGUGCAAGAGGGGAGAGUGGAAUUCCAUGUGUAGCGGUGAAAUGCGUAGAUAUAUGGAGGAACACCGGUGGCGAAAGCGGCUCUCUGGCUUGUAACUGACGCUGAGGCUCGAAAGCGUGGGGAGCAAACAGGAUUAGAUACCCCAGUAGUCCCUGUCUCUUAUACC
rnacentral:rRNA from 1 species